AGGACUGUAGCUCAGUGGCAGAGCAUCUGCUUGGCAUGCAGAAGGUCGUAGGUUCAGUCCCUGACAUCUCUG